ensembl:lncRNA
GACUUUCUCUACAGUGUGGCUCUGGAAGCCCACACUCAGUGUGUCAUUGACCCAGUCAUACGGUGCAUCUGCAGUUUACAGCCGGCAGAGGAAGCUGGUCUGGAUCAAUUCAAUUCCCGAGAAGCCACAAGUUGUGAUACAUGACGAAAAUGAACAAAUGCGAAAGCGUUCGCUGGUGCACACGGGUGGAACCGUGUCAGUCAAAUGCAGCAGCUUGUUGAGCCCGUGGAGCCCAGACGGAGGGAAAUGAAGCAGCUGCAAUAAUGCUGUGGUGAAAAUCAGCACAGCAUUAUCACCUGACUGGGAUAAGGCGUCCCUCAACUACGGAUAGCCAUGCACUGUCGUGCCGUGCCGGACUAUCUGCACUGACACUGUACAGACAUGGAAUGUGUCUGAUGACCGAGCUGCUGCAUUCCUCUCCGACAACACAGCAGCUCACGGCACUGUUACCGACCCACAGAAUGAAAGAGUUCAUGUCACCCAGCUGCUCCGACUGCACCACCACAGACACACAAUCUCACACUCACACACUCCGACGCUUCUGUGAACUUGCCUGGAUUUCGGAGUUCCUGUUGCAGCUCGGUGGUAGUUUGAAGACACCCGACGUCCGCAUGACUCCGAAUAAGGUUAAGGGCUGAAUCGAGCCCAGCCCUAAACCCGUUCCCACAUAUCCGCAGCAGGGACACCGCGCUGACUCCGUCAACUCCGCCGGACACAAGCCGAGCAGAGCCCAGCCCAGCCGCCUCCAUGCACCAGCACCGCGGAGUGAGCAGGAAGCAGCCCUGCUGCGCGCGCGCACGCAUGCACGCGGAUUUGAAAAUAAAGGUGCGCACGGGUGCUUCGUGUGACAGCAGCAGCGUCCCUCAACAAGUAGCGGAGGUGUGAGUCACAGGGAGCUGCACUAACACUCUCCUCUCUGUGCUGUCCUGGACUCGUGGGCGCGCUCACAGAGGUGCUGGAUACUUCAAAGGUUACCAUCCAAAAAUGAGAUGUUACAGAUUAAACACCUCAGCACCGAGUUAAGAGCUUCACCAGGUGAUGGAUUCGAUUUUUGGAUCAAAUGAUCUACAGAUGAAAGCAUAGUCCUGGGACUCUGUAACGCUUUGAUAAACUUUUGUAGUCCGAGUCCACAUUAGCAGAACAUCAGAAUGUGGACUAGCUUAAGACCAUCAGCUCCACUGCUUGGUAAUCCUGCAUUUAUGUGACAGCACAGUGAAGGGUUAUUAGUUAAUGCAAGAGGACAGAUGGCUCUGAGUAUACUUAAGGACUAUCAAAGCACGUUUGUGUUUCAUGUCUAUGCACAUAAUAAACUUAUUGCCGUUAAUUACAUUUAAAAUACAUAAUGAUCCCUGACUGCCGAGGGUCAUCAUAACUCGUGGGUCGGACCUCACAGGGGAAUUUCCUUCGGCUGGCAGCCACAGCUCAUUAGCUUCGUCUUUGUUCUCGGCAGGUAGUGUCAGUCAGCUACACGGAGUUUCAGCAUGUGCCAAUCUUCCACGUCCUGGUGUCUUAUUACGCUGUUCUUCUCUUCACACGUGAUCUGUUAUUGUUCAACACAUCUCAGUCUCAACAGAGUUGAUAUUUUUAGGUGUAGUACUUUUGAGGCCUUCCACAUUAUUCUUCUUCUCAAACUAUUUGUCUGCGAGAUUUUUGCAGACAAAUCAGGUAAAGAUCGUCUUAAACGACAAGCACAGCCAUUACUCACCUAAUUAUCUGUUUAAAAAACUUGGACUCUUUUUUGACCAACAUCUGAAUUUUGAAACUCAAGUUCAACCAGUCUUGUUUCCAUCACUUCAGAAAUAUCAAAGCUUUGCAGUCACUGUGUGCAGCGUUCACACGUUAAUUUUCUCCCGCCUUUCUUUUGUAACUCGCCUUGACGUGGACCUCUCAGUCCUCUGUAGCUCGUCUCCAGCUAGUGCAGAGCGCAGCACCAAGGACACAUAUCACACCUGUUCUUGCAUCCCUUCACUGGCUUCCGGCAAAACCCAGAAUCCACCUAAAAAUCCUGUUAUUAACAUACGAGGCUGUACAUGGACAGACUUGUGUUUAUACAGCAAAGCUCCGAAGAUCUUAUCACCGCUACUCUGAUUUUAAAGCCAGAGGUGAUCGUGCUUUUGAGGUUGUGUCACCCAAACUGUCCAACAGUUUGGCUUUCUGUUUAUUGUUUCAAACAACUGCUGAAAGCUAACUUUCAUAUGUUAGCCUUAAUCUUUGAAAUGAACGUUGAUUAUGUGUCUGGAUGUCUACUUAAAAAAUAUCUAUACAAAUAAAGUUAUUAUUAUUAA